rnacentral:pre_miRNA from 9 species
CCUCGAUAGCGUAAAAGUUAACUCAAAUUUGUAUGUAGUUGGAACGUUUGCCUAGGUUUGCCACUAAGGGCGCUGUUCCAACUCUAAGCAAAUUCGAAUUAACUUUCAGGCUAUGGA